AGUGAACGCUGGCGGUAGGCCUAACACAUGCAAGUCGAACGGCAGCACAGUAAGAGCUUGCUCUUACGGGUGGCGAGUGGCGGACGGGUGAGGAAUACAUCGGAAUCUACUUUUUCGUGGGGGAUAACGUAGGGAAACUUACGCUAAUACCGCAUACGACCUACGGGUGAAAGCAGGGGAUCUUCGGACUUUGCGCGAUUGAAUGAGCCGAUGUCGGAUUAGCUAGUUGGCGGGGUAAGGGCCCACCAAGGCGACGAUCCGUAGCUGGUCUGAGAGGAUGAUCAGCCACACUGGAACUGAGACACGGUCCAGACUCCUACGGGAGGCAGCAGUGGGGAAUAUUGGACAAAGGGCGCAAGCCUGAUCCAGCCAUACCGCGUGAGUGAAGAAGGCCUUCGGGUUGUAAAGCCCUUUUGUUGGGAAAGAAAAGCAGCAGGUUAAUACCCCGCUGUUCUGACGGUACCCAAAGAAUAAGCACCGGCUAACUUCGUG
rnacentral:rRNA from 1 species